GUUUCGGUGUAGGUACUAACACCGUUAUCAAGCAGGUGAUACAACAACUGAGGCAAGGAGAAUAUAUAUAUAGCUGUAUAGUAAGAUUAUACAAUUAACAAGGUUGAUGUAAAUUUGGUAUUUGAUAAGUGAUUAAAGCAGAGGAGGUUGAUAUACAA